UNGGUAUCUCAUUGGUGCCUUGUGCUUG
rnacentral:piRNA from 1 species